AUUACAGGCACCUGCCACCAUGCCCAGCUAAUUUUUGUAUUUUUUGUAGAGAUGGAGUUUCACCAUGUUGGCCAGGCUUGUCUUGAACUCCUGACUUCAGGCGAUACGCCAGCCUUGGCCUCCGAAGUGCUGGGAUUACAGGCGUGAGCCACCGCACCCAGCCCCUCAUAUGACUUUUUCACUGACUUCUUAAUGCACAGUCGGGGAGCUGAGCAGCUGCCUGUACCUGGCUGGGCUGGGCCUGAAACCACUCAGCCCCAUCACAGCAGCCUCCAUCCUUGCCGAUGCAGACCCAUGGGACCAGCCCUGAAGACAUCCUGUCUUUCCCUCUUUCUGGAAUGCCCUCCCUGCUCCGUUCUCACACCUCCUGCCCCUUCACCUUCAAUCAGUCAGGGAAAAACCCACU
rnacentral:lncRNA from 10 species